GACGAACGCUGGCGGCGUGCUUAACACAUGCAAGUCGAACGGAAAGGCCCUGCGUUUGUGGGGUGCUCGAGUGGCGAACGGGUGAGUAACACGUGAGUAACCUGCCCUUGACUUUGGGAUAACUUCAGGAAACUGGGGCUAAUACCGGAUAGGAGCUCCUGCUGCAUGGUGGGGGUUGGAAAGCUUCGGCGGUUGGGGAUGGACUCGCGGCUUAUCAGCUUGUUGGUGGGGUAGUGGCUUACCAAGGCUUUGACGGGUAGCCGGCCUGAGAGGGUGACCGGCCACAUUGGGACUGAGACACGGCCCAGACUCCUACGGGAGGCAGCAGUGGGGAAUAUUGCACAAUGGGCGGAAGCCUGAUGCAGCAACGCCGCGUGCGGGAUGACGGCCUUCGGGUUGUAAACCGCUUUCGCCUGUGACGAAGCGUGAGUGACGGUAAUGGGUAAAGAAGCACCGGCUAACUACGUG
rnacentral:rRNA from 1 species